CCUGACGCAGCGACGCCGCGUGAGUGAAGAAGGCCUUUGGGUCGUAAAGCUCUGUCAACUGGGAAGAAGUUGUAUAUAUCCAAUAGGUAUAUGCAUUGACGGUACCAGUGGAGGAAGCGUCGGCUAACUCCGUGCCAGCAGCCGCGGUAACACGGGGGACGCAAGCGUUAUUCGGAAUUAUUGGGCGUAAAGGGCGUGUAGGCGGUCUUACCGGUCAGAUGUGAAAGCCCAGGGCUCAACCCUGGACGUGCAUUUGAAACAGUAAGACUUGAGUACUGGAGAGGAAAGCGGAAUUCCUGGUGUAGAGGUGAAAUUCGUAGAUAUCAGGAGGAACACCGAUGGCGAAGGCAGCUUUCUGGACAGAAACUGACGCUGAUGCGCGAAGGCGUGGGUAGCGAACAGGAUUAGAUACCCUGGUAGUCCACGCAGUAAACGAUGUACACUAGGUGUAGGAGAUAUUAAAAUUUUCUGUGCCGGAGUUAACGCAUUAAGUGUACCGCCUGGGGAGUACGGUCGCAAGACUAAAACUCAAAGGAAUUGACGG
rnacentral:rRNA from 1 species